CCUACGGGUGGCAGCAGUCGAGAAUCAUUCACAAUGGGGGAAACCCUGAUGGUGCGACGCCGCGUGGGGGAAUGAAGGUCUUCGGAUUGUAAACCCCUGUCAUGUGGGAGCAAAUUAAAAAGAUAGUACCACACGAGGAAGAGACGGCUAACUCUGUGCCAGCAGCCGCGGUAAUACAGAGGUCUCAAGCGUUGUUCGGAAUCACUGGGCGUAAAGCGUGCGUAGGCUGUUUCGUAAGUCGUGUGUGAAAGGCGCGGGCUCAACCCGCGGAAGGCACAUGAUACUGCGAGAAUAGAGUAAUGGAGGGGGAACCGGAAUUCUCGGUGUAGCAGUGAAAUGCGUAGAUAUCGAGAGGAAAACUCGUGGCGAAGGCGGGUUCCUGGACAUUAACUGACGCUGAGGCACGAAGGCCAGGGGAGCGAAAGGGAUUAGAUACCCGAGUAGUC
rnacentral:rRNA from 1 species